AUUGAACGCUGGCGGCAUGCCUUACACAUGCAAGUCGAACGGUAACAGGUCUUCGGAUGCUGACGAGUGGCGAACGGGUGAGUAAUGCAUCGGAACGUGCCCAGUCGUGGGGGAUAACUAUCCGAAAGGAUAGCUAAUACCGCAUACGAUCUGCGGAUGAAAGCGGGGGACCUUCGGGCCUCGCGCGAUUGGAGCGGCCGAUGUCAGAUUAGGUAGUUGGUGGGGUAAAGGCUCACCAAGCCAACGAUCUGUAGCUGGUCUGAGAGGACGACCAGCCACACUGGGACUGAGACACGGCCCAGACUCCUACGGGAGGCAGCAGUGGGGAAUUUUGGACAAUGGGCGCAAGCCUGAUCCAGCAAUGCCGCGUGCAGGAAGAAGGCCUUCGGGUUGUAAACUGCUUUUGUACGGAACGAAACGGCUCUGGUUAAUACCCGGGGCUAAUGACGGUACCGUAAGAAUAAGCACCGGCUAACUACGUGCCAGCCGCCGCGGUAA
rnacentral:rRNA from 1 species